rnacentral:rRNA from 1 species
AUUGAACGCUGGCGGCAUGCCUUACACAUGCAAGUCGAACGGCAGCAUAGGAGCUUGCUCCUGAUGGCGAGUGGCGAACGGGUGAGUAAUAUAUCGGAACGUGCCCUAGAGUGGGGGAUAACUAGUCGAAAGACUAGCUAAUACCGCAUACGAUCUACGGAUGAAAGUGGGGGAUCGCAAGACCUCAUGCCCCUGGAGCGGCCGAUAUCUGAUUAGCUAGUUGGUGGGGUAAAAGCCUACCAAGGCAACGAUCAGUAGCUGGUCUGAGAGGACGACCAGCCACACUGGGACUGAGACACGGCCCAGACUCCUACGGGAGGCAGCAGUGGGGAAUCUUGGACAAUGGGGGCAACCCUGAUCCAGCAAUGCCGCGUGAGUGAAGAAGGCCUUCGGGUUGUAAAGCUCUUUUGUCAGGGAAGAAACGGUGGUAGCUAAUAUCUACUACUAAUGACGGUACCUGAAGAAUAAGCACCGGCUAACUACGUGCCAGCAGCCGCCGUAAGAC